rnacentral:rRNA from 1 species
GGUCAAGCAAUAAGGGCACAGGGCGGAUGCUUGGCACUAAGAGCCGAUGAAAGACGUGAUAAGCUGCGAAAAGCUUCGGGGAGGAGCAAAUAUCCCGUGAUCCGGAGAUGUCUGAAUGGGGAAACCCGCAUGAGAAGA